rnacentral:rRNA from 1 species
UAACGCGUGAGUAACCUGCCCUGGAGUGGGGGACNACAGUUGGAAACGACUGCUAAUACCGCAUAAGCCCACGGAUCCGCAUGGAUCUGCGGGAAAAGGAUUUAUUCGCUUCAGGAUGGACUCGCGUCCAAUUAGCUGGUUGGUGAGGUAACGGCCCACCAAGGCGACGAUUGGUAGCCGGACUGAGAGGUUGAACGGCCACAUUGGGACUGAGACACGGCCCAGACUCCUACGGGAGGCAGCAGUGGGGGAUAUUGCACAAUGGGGGAAACCCUGAUGCAGCGACGCCGCGUGGAGGAAGAAGGUUUUCGGAUUGUAAACUCCUGUCGUUAGGGACGAUAAUGACGGUACCUAACAAGAAAGCACCGGCUAACUACGUGCCAGCAGCCGCGGUAAAACGUAGGGUGCAAGCGUUGUCCGGAAUUACUGGGUGUAAAGGGAGCGCAGGCGGACCGGCAAGUUGGAAGUGAAAACUAUGGGCUCAACCCAUAAAUUGCUUUCAAAACUGCUGGCCUUGAGUAGUGCAGAGGUAGGUGGAAUUCCCGGUGUAGCGGUGGAAUGCGUAGAUAUCGGGAGGAACACCAGUGGCGAAGGCGACCUACUGGGCACCAACUGACGCUGAGGCUCGAAAGCAUGGGUAGCAAACAGGAUUAGAUACCCUGGUAGUCCAUGCCGUAAACGAUGAUUACUAGGUG